GACGUAGGGGGCGAGCGUUGUCCGGAUUCAUUGGGCGUAAAGCGCGCGUAGGCGGCUGCGCAAGUCGGUUGUGAAAUUCCGGGGCUCAACCCCGGAACUGCGUCCGAUACUGCGUGGCUAGAGGUAGGUAGGGGAGAUCGGAAUUCCUGGUGUAGCGGUGAAAUGCGCAGAUAUCGGGAGGAACACCAGUGGCGAAGGCGACUUUCUGGCCUGUUCUUGACGCUGAGGCGCGAAAGCUAGGGGAGCAAACGGG
rnacentral:rRNA from 1 species